UACGUAGGUGGCAAGCGUUGUCCGGAUUUACUGGGCGUAAAGGGCGUGCAGGCGGUCUGUUAAGUCUAGGGUGAAAGCUCCCGGCUCAACUGGGAGAGGUCCUUGGAUACUGGCGGACUUGAGGGAGGCAGAGGAAAGUGGAAUCCCGGUGUAGUGGUGAUAUGCGUAGAUAUCGGGAGGAACACCAGUGGCGAAGGCGGCUUUCUGGGCCUUACCUGACGCUGAGACGGCGAAAGCGUGGGGAGCGAACCGGAU
rnacentral:rRNA from 1 species